rnacentral:rRNA from 1 species
AUGCAGUCGAGCGACAGAGAAGGAGCUUGCUCCUUUGACGUUUCGGCGGACGGGUGAGUAACACGUGGGCAACCUACCUUAUAGUUUGGGAUAACUCCGGGAAACCGGGGCUAAUACCGAAUAAUCUGUUCCACCUCAUGGUGGAACACUGAAAGACGGUUUCGGCUGUCGCUAUUAGAUGGGCCCGCGGCGCAUUAGCUAGUUGGUGAGGUAACGGCUCACCAAGGCGACGAUGCGUAGCCCACCUGAGAGGGUGAUCGGCCACACUGGGACUGAGACACGGCCCAAACUCCUACGGGAGGCAGCAGUAGGGAAUCUUCCACAAUGGGCGAAAGCCUGAUGGAGCAACGCCGCGUGAGUGAAGAAGGUUUUCGGAUCGUAAAACUCUGUUGUAAGGGAAGAACAAGUACAGUAGUAACUGGCUGUACCUUGACGGUACCUUAUUACAAAGCCACGGCUAACUACGUGGCCAGCAGCCCGCGGUAAUACCCAGGUGGCAGAGCGUUGUC